rnacentral:rRNA from 2 species
GGAAAGGCGCGCGAUACAGGGUGACAGCCCCGUACACAAAAAUGCACAUGCUGUGAGCUCGAUGAGUAGGGCGGGACACGUGGUAUCCUGUCUGAAUAUGGGGGGACCAUCCUCCAAGGCUAAAUACUCCUGACUGACCGAUAGUGAACCAGUACCGUGAGGGAAAGGCGAAAAGAACCCCGGCGAGGGGAGUGAAAAAGAACCUGAAACCGUGUACGUACAAGCAGUGGGAGCACGCUUAGGCGUGUGACUGCGUACCUUUUGUAUAAUGGGUCAGCGACUUAUAUUCUGUAGCAAGGUUAACCGAAUAGGGGAGCCGAAGGGAAACCGAGUCUUAACUGGGCGUUAAGUUGCAGGGUAUAGACCCGAAACCCGGUGAUCUAGCCAUGGGCAGGUUGAAGGUUGGGUAACACUAACUGGAGGACCGAACCGACUAAUGUUGAAAAAUUAGCGGAUGACUUGUGGCUGGGGGUGAAAGGCCAAUCAAACCGGGAGAUAGCUGGUUCUCCCCGAAAGCUAUUUAGGUAGCGCCUCGUGAAUUCAUCUCCGGGGGUAGAGCACUGUUUCGGCAAGGGGGUCAUCCCGA